AUUAUACAGUGACCUUUUCCAUGCUUAUAAAUAUUGUACAUGCUUUUACAGAAAUCAGUUUCAACACUGUGUCAAAAUAUUUACUUAUUUAUUGUGGAUUUGUGCUUAUAAUGAGCUAAAGGAUCCUGUCUCGCUCAUCCAAAGUAAUUGCAGCUAUCGACUGGGAGCGGUUUCUCCCAACCACCUGAAUGAAGAAGCAUUUGCUGAAAUUGCCUUUUCCCUAUCAUUCAUUGAAUUCAGCAGCCCUAUCUUUCAGGCAACAUGGUUUUGAAUAUGAACCAGGAAUUCUCUCUUUUAGGAUGACCAUCAUCCUUAAUUGACUUAAUGUGGAGAACCGCAUCCUGGACUGCAUUAAAAGAAGCAUGGCCAGCAGGCUGAGGGAGGUAAUUCUGCCCCUCUACUCUGCUCAGGUGAGACCUCACCUGGAAUCCCAUGUCCAGCUCUGUGGCCCUCAGCACAGGAAAGACAUGGAGCUGUUUGAGCAGGUCUGGAGGAGAUGAUCUGAAGGCUGGAGCACCUGCUGUACGAGGACAGACUGAGAGAGUUGGGGUUGUUCAGCCUGGAGAAGGCUUCAGGGAGACCUUAGAGCAGCUUCCAGUGAUGAAAGGGGGCCUACAGCAAAGAUGGAGACAAACUUUAGCGAGGUCUGCUACGACAGGACAAGGAGUAACGGUUUUAAACCAAGGGAGGGGAGAUUUGUACUCUAUAACUGCCAGUGAAAUUGUUUAUGUAAAACAAGUAAAAGGACAUUUUAUAGGAGACACCCCAGUCAGUCUUGCUCCUAAAACACAGGAACAUGUCCAAAGUAGAAACAGUGACUAAAUUAGCAAUGAAAUCACUGAGGUGGAAAAGGAACAUCAAAUAUCCUGGCUGACGUCUUGCUUGCUUGGAUGAAUGAACUGUGGAAGCAUUGACUCAAAGGAGGACCGGAGUCCUGUAGUUGAACGUUGCAUUCGUUGUGGGGCUGAACAGGAUUUUUCUCAAGGAGAAAAAUGAGUCAUUGACCCACCUCUAACCAUGCUUGGAGUUCUUGACUAUACUAAGGUUUUUAUAAGGCAUUAAUAAGGGAUGACUCCUGCCUAAAAAAAAUAUUUAGUUGAUAAUUCUAUUACACUUUUUCUAUUUUUAUACUUACAGAAAUCUCAUCAAUAUACUUGAUAGCUGGAGAUCUUCAAAGAUAUUUAAUGUCUUCAUUUUAUGUAGUCAUCUAAAUAUAGUGAAAAUAAAGACUAAAUAAGCAAAACAGCAAUGUUUAAAAUUAAUGGCCUCUACUACCUGAAUAAGACUAUUCAAAUCUUCAAUCAACAAAUAAAAGUCUCACAACUUUUCUUCUUAUUCUGGUCAUUGCUUUUAGCUGAACUCAGCACUGAACAUGCUUUUGAGCUUCGAUCUGACAACAACUAAGAGAAGCAUAAACAAAUUAUGUCUCUUUUUAAGUCUAAACUUGGUAUCUGUAAAGUCAAUGUAAGAAAGAUGGAGUCUGUCCUUGCUUAGUCACCUAAGAAAAUUGUUUGGAUAAACCUCUGCAGCUGCAGGCUAUUGUAUGAUUACUGUUAGGAGGUGUUUAAUGGAUUGGUCCAUUAUAACAUCUUGGUCCACAUGGAACACAGAUAACAAAGUGCCAUCUGUGUUUUAAAUGAAGUAAAUGGGUGUGGGCACACAUUUUGUUUAAUUGUGAAAAUAUUGUGCUAAUAUAAAAUUGAACUUCCAUGGAAUUACAUGGACGACGACUCUGUGAAUCUCACUCUUAAGUGACAACUGCAUUGUAUUUGGGCAUGGGGAACUCAUUUAAAACCGGAAAAUCUUCUCUAAGGAAGGAAAUUUAAAUUAGGUUCUGCAAAAUGGCAAGAUCCUUUAUGCAUUUAACCCUUUAGUGCAAGGUCCUGAUGUUGAGGAGGUGUUAGCACGGCCUUUGAAUGCCUGCCAUUUCUGCAUCUCAGAGAACUAUACAAAGAAAAUACAUAUAUAGAUAAAAGAAUAUGCAUCCACUGUGUGAGGCUGUGGAUGAAGAUAUUUGGAUAUCCUAGGACAGUAUUGUUUCUUUAAAUCUGGUGGAACGCUGUUUAAAUGACACUAGUACGGUCUGCAAAUCCAGCCCAUGAAGAAAGGAAGAACUUCCAACAAUAUCUGGCAAGUGCACUCAUGUUGCCUAUCCCUGAAAGAAAUGGAGAGCAACAGCUAGCAGAAAGGUAAUACAUCUAUAAUUUCAUUGUGUAUCUUUAGAUCCUCAACAGAAAAAUUAAAAAUUCAGUCUCAUUCUAAGUAUUUAUAAUGACACACUCUGUGGGCCACUGAUUGCUCUUCCUACUACAAAGUUAUGUUUUUUGGAGUGAAUCUAACCUACUGCGAACCUGGGAGCCUUGGCAGAUGAUACUCAGCUGCUGAACAGUCUAAUUAUCAUAAUUAUCAGAUAUUUAAGUGACUAACAAAAAAUUAGGGAAUGGCCAAUCCGUGCUCACUGAGGACUUAAAAACUUUAGAAUAACUAAGAAGUUGAAUAAGGGUGGGUGGUUUUGUAUUUAGGUUUUUAACAUUUCAAGUUCCUUGCCUGUGCUUGACUGAAUCUCUUCAAAAAUAGACAAUAUUUGAAAUAUAGCAGAAGGGUGAAGAUAAAAUUCCUAGUUUCCUGCAUUUGCCUCUAAUCAUAUGCACAAAUUAUUACUUACAGCAACUUAAAUUUGCUUUCCAUUUUAUGUCAAUCAAUGUUCAGAAAAGAGAUACUAUAGACUGGCUGAGUAUGAUCACAAAGUGAACUCUUCUUGGGUGCACCUGAUUUUUUUUUCUCUGUAUUCCUCUUUCCAGCAGUAGAGUGUAUCUGUAGAAAGUUGAAAACAACAGGUUCCUCCUAAAAGGGACUGAGAAAAUGGUGAUUUUCCCUUGUCUAAAGUGAAGACCUCGGAUCUCCUGAACCCUGACCAGGCAGCAUUGUAGCCUCACUGGUGCAUAUCCUUAGCCCAACUACGUUAUCUUCCAAACUGAGAUCAGUCCCUUUUUCGAGAAAGUGAACAUAUAAGUUCACACACAGUGAUCUGGGUUUUGCCAUAAAGAGAAAUGUCAAACAGCUGUAGAAGGUAUUUUAAGUUAAUUCUUUUACUGCUCGAUACAUAAUUAGAAAGGAAAGAGAAGUCUUCCAGCAGUAUCGGUCUCUACCACGUAGGCUAUAUCAUGCACCCCACUGUGCAUGCACACAUACAAAUACAGAUGUUCAUGAGCACUUGCAUUCACUUGGAAUAUGUGUUUGCAACUGUUAGUGAUUUCUCUAAAGUCUGUUGGGGCAUCUUAAAUCAUUUCCUAUGCCUUGUACCAAAGCUAAUUUGAAAUAUCUUAGGCAAAAUUACAUUUUGUGACUGUGACAGAGGAAGUGUGAAGGUUUUUAUGGAGAUAGAUGUGAUGAUGAGUGACAAGAAGUAUCAGUUGGGUUCUGGAAGAUGAAGAUGUGGAUUUGAAGGAAGCUCCAGGGAUGUUUUUGGGGGGGGGGGGCAGGGAUGAAACCAAGAAAGUUUGAUGAAGAUUUGAAGAGCAGUGAACUAUUUCAGGAAGUUGGGAAGUUGUUCCUGGGAGGAAAUCACCUUUCCCUCCUUUCUCACCUUCCAUUAACCUGCCCUUGACAGCUGAUCAGACUGUGAGGUUGCAGUGGGACUGUAACAUGCUCUUCCACUACUAAUCUCCUUCUUCCCAAAAAGAAUCUUCUAUUUUACUUAUUCCCUUAUGGAAUCGUGGAAUUACAGAAUAGUUUAGGCUGGAAAGGAUCUUAAAGCCCACCCAGUUCCAAUCCCCCUGCCUCAGGCAGGGACACUUCCCACUGGCCCAGGCUGCUCCAAGCCCCAUCCAACCUGGCCUUGAACACUUCCAACAGUGGUGCAUCCACAACUUCUCUGAGCAACCUCCUUCAGUGUCUCACCACCCUCAUUGUAAAAAUUGUCUUUUUUUGUAUCUAAUCUAACUCUGCUUUCCUUCAGUUUGAAGUCAUUGCUCCUUGUUCUGUCACUACAGGCUCUGCUAAAAAAGUUCUCUCCUCCUUUUGUAUAAAAGGUCCCACAUAAAUGGACCUCUGGACCGGGUCCAGCAGGUCCAUGUCUUUUCCCAUAAUGGGGACCCAGAGCUGGAUGCAGUACUGUGAGUGGUAUCUCAUGAGAGCUGAAUAGAGGGAAGAAUCGCCUCCCUCAACCUGCCAGCCACACUUCUGAUGUAUCCUAGGAGAGAUGAUUUGCCAUGACUGUUUUCCUGGGACUCGGGCUCCCAUCACUCCAGUGCCAAGUAGGAGGGGAUAUGACUGGUCCUGCCUUAGGGCAAUGGAAUGGAGGAGAGGGGUUGUAGGCACAGCCUGGAACAGCCCUGGGAAGCUGGUCUUGAGGCAGGAGAAGGUAUGGGACUCUGGCAGUGCUGAGAGGGACUAUUGCCCCUUCCGCACUUCCGUCCACCACUCAGGAACAGAUUUAUCUCUAUGGCAAAAGCAGCAAGACCGUGUGAGCUGUGCAGCCAGGAGACAGAGGUUAGCAUUUCAGAUGCAGCUUGUUCAAACAACCAAGCCUUGUAACCUCUAGCACAAAAAGCUCAUACAACUAUUUUAUUGUUCCAGCAGACCAGUUUCCAAGCUAAAUCCUUACUUUGACAGCUAUAAAGCCACUUCUCAAGAAUGAUGUUAAGAUCCAUUGAAACGCAUCUGCAGUCACUCUGCUGUAAUGCAGGAGAGAAGGAGACAUUUGGCUCAGAGUUCAAAUUCCAUUGUUUUUCUCCAUAAUCCCUCCCUCCAAACAGUUCAGGAAGCUGAAAACCUGCUCAGACCUGAUGAACUUGAAAAUCUACUAUGGUUUGGCUGUUAUUCACUGGGAUUUGAUCCAUUGCAUAAGAGCAAAAAAAUUACUCCAUGAAGAUUCAGAGUGUUCAAGGUCACAGCCUGGAACUGAUGACAAACAUUGCUCCAGGCUCCUGGUCUGACCUGGUAGAAUAGAUGAACUCAACCUUGUAAACUGUCCUCUGAGGUGAA